rnacentral:rRNA from 1 species
AUUGAACGCUGGCGGCAGGCCUAACACAUGCAAGUCGAGCGCGCGGCGGACGGGUGAGUAAUGUAUGGGGACUGCCCGAUAGAGGGGGAUAACUACUGGAAACCGUGUCUAAUACCGCGUAUUGCCGGAUUUCCCCUAUGGGAUUAGCUAGUAUGUAUGGUAAUGGCUUACCUAGGCGACGAUCCCUAGCUGGUCUGAGAGUAUGAUCAGCCACACUGGGACUGAGACACGGCCCAUACUCCUACGGAGGCAGCAGUGGGGAAUAUUGCACAAUGGGCGCAAGCCUGAUGCAGCAAUGCCGCGUGUAUGAAGAAGGCCUUAGGGUUGUAAAGUACUUUCAGUCGGGAGGCGUUACCGACAGAAGAAGCACCGGCUAACUCCGUGCCAGCAGCCGCGGUAAUAC